UCUGAAACGGAAGAGACCUGGGUGUCCCGGGAGUCUGAUAAAGUGCCUGAUAACUCGGGCAGGAGACGUGAGUCAAACUGGACCGACCCAGUUGAGUUUGCAUAGCCGAUUUGACUGGUGGUUAAGUUGCUGAUACUUUCCAUGUAGGUGGUGCUUGAGGGUUGACCUGAGGGGAACUCGGAUGUAGCACGGAUCCGUUCCAUUAAACGGGGAAUCCAAACGUAACGCAUGGUGUCCCUGAAUUCUUUACCGUUAACAUCACAUUUAAGCUGCUUUGCCUUCUUCUGGACUCUUGUUCUCCAAUAGUUCUUUAUUUCAUUAUCUGUUCUUCCAGGAAUGAGGAAAGCAAUAUGGGAGUCAAGCAAAAACCUGUUGCCCCAGAGAGAAUGGAGUUCAAGAAUCAACAGCUGCUCUUCGAGGCUGAUGCUUCCUCGUCUGACUUCUGGUCGCAAGUAGUUUAGCCAUCUUAAUCUGCAGCUUUUGCCGGUUCUUUUUAAUCCUGUAGAAAUUUAUGUCAUAUCAGUAUCACAAAAAAUAUGUUCAAAAUAGAUGCAUACAAGCUGAAAAUUCUUAGGUUUCAUCGAUUUUCAGUGAAGCAGACAUGUUUCAUGGAAGAAAUUAUUAACCUGAUAAGCGAGCAACAGAGUUCCAGCGACCUUCACCAUGAA